rnacentral:rRNA from 1 species
AACGAACGCUGGCGGCAGGCUUAACACAUGCAAGUCGAACGGGCGUAGCAAUACGUCAGUGGCAGACGGGUGAGUAACACGUGGGAACCUUCCUAGGGGGUACGGAACAACUCAGGGAAACUUGAGCUAAUACCGUAUACGUCCGUGAGGAGAAAGAUUUAUCGCCCUUAGACGGGCCCGCGUCGGAUUAGCUAGUUGGUGGGGUAACGGCCUACCAAGGCGACGAUCCGUAGCUGAUCUGAGAGGAUGAUCAGCCACACUGGGACUGAGACACGGCCCAGACUCCUACGGGAGGCAGCAGUGGGGAAUCUUGGACAAUGGGCGCAAGCCUGAUCCAGCCAUGCCGCGUGAGUGAAGAAGGCCUUCGGGUUGUAAAGCGUCUUUGUUCAGGGACGA